rnacentral:rRNA from 1 species
UACAGAGGUCCCAAGCGUUGUUCGGAUUCAUUGGGCGUAAAGGGUGCGUAGGCGGCGCGGUAAGUCGGGUGUGAAAUCUCGGGGCUUAACUCCGAAACUGCAUUCGAUACUGCCGUGCUUGAGGACUGGAGAGGAGACUGGAAUUUACGGUGUAGCGGUGAAAUGCGUAGAUAUCGUAAGGAAGACCAGUGGCGAAGGCGGGUCUCGUGGACAGUUCCUGACACUGAGGCACGAAGGCCAGGGGAGCAAACGGG